rnacentral:rRNA from 1 species
UCCUACGGGAGGCAGCAGUGGGGAAUAUUGGACAAUGGGGGGAACCCUGAUCCAGCCAUGCCGCGUGUGUGAAGAAGGCCUUUUGGUUGUAAAGCACUUUAAGCGAGGAGGAGGCUUACCUGGUUAAUACCUGGGAUAAGUGGACGUUACUCGCAGAAUAAGCACCGGCUAACUCUGUGCCAGCAGCCGCGGUAAUACAGAGGGUGCAAGCGUUAAUCGGAUUUACUGGGCGUAAAGCGCGCGUAGGUGGCUAAUUAAGUCAAAUGUGAAAUCCCCGAGCUUAACUUGGGAAUUGCAUUCGAUACUGGUUAGCUAGAGUAUGGGAGAGGAUGGUAGAAUUCCAGGUGUAGCGGUGAAAUGCGUAAAGAUCUGGAGGAAUACCGAUGGCGAAGGCAGCCAUCUGGCCUAAUACUGACACUGAGGUGCGAAAGCAUGGGGAGCAAACAGGAUUAGAUACCCUGGUAGUCCAUGCCGUAAACGAUGUCUACCAGCCGUUGGGGCCCUUGAGGCUUUUGUGGCGCAGCUUAACCGAUAAUUAGACCGC